AUUUUGGCAGUUGGGAGGCAAGGAAUAGCACAAAGUCAUAGCAUGCAACUGAAAGACCCCAGAAGAGAGGAGACCCUCACUCAAGUCUCAGGAUGACGUGACCCCCCAAGGACUCACGAGAGACC
rnacentral:pre_miRNA from 7 species